rnacentral:lncRNA from 1 species
UUCCCAGAUUCUAUUCAGACACAAAGGAAUUAAUGACAGUUGGAUCACCACCGCCUGGGAUUGGAUGAGAUGAGCAGGAACAAACCAGCAUGAACUUCAAAGCACUGAGUCAAGAACUCAGCAAGUGAAUCAACAACUUCUUUACAGACAGCACUAACAUCUCUCCUGUCAGACGCAUACUGGUGGUGGCUGCAAACUUUCACAUCCUCCUGUGUACCUGACACAUUCUCUUCUCACCUAACUUUCCCAUUCCAUGAGUUGCAGGUAAGUGUUACAGAGUUUUAAACUUCUGGUAAAAUUCAUCUUUGCUACACAGUAGAAGUAAAAGAUCCAGAGAGGAGAAUAGCUACAAGUUCCCCAGAGUCCCCCCUCUCUCAUUAACUGGCAAUUGAAGUCUCAAUAAUUC